rnacentral:rRNA from 1 species
AACGAACGCUGGCGGCAGGCUUAACACAUGCAAGUCGAGCGCCCCGCAAGGGGAGCGGCAGACGGGUGAGUAACGCGUGGGAAUCUACCGAGCCCUGCGGAAUAGCUCCGGGAAACUGGAAUUAAUACCGCAUACGCCCUACGGGGGAAAGAUUUAUCGGGGUUUGAUGAGCCCGCGUUGGAUUAGCUAGUUGGUGGGGUAAUGGCCUACCAAGGCGACGAUCCAUAGCUGGUCUGAGAGGAUGAUCAGCCACAUUGGGACUGAGACACGGCCCAAACUCCUACGGGAGGCAGCAGUGGGGAAUGUUGGACAAUGGGCGAAAGCCUGAUCCAGCCAUGCCGCGUGAGUGAUGAGGGCCCUAGGGUUGUAAAGCUCUUUCACCGGUGAAGAUAAUGACGGUAACCGGAGAAGAAGCCCCGGCUAACUUCGUGCCAGCAGCCGCCGUAAAAC